UACACAGCGGGAAUGUUGAUAAAAAUAAAAAUAAAAUCAUCUGGCUCGCACGUUCAUAGAUCUAAUUGGUUACCCAGCUUCUCUUACAUAUUUCUGUCCUGUUUCACGAAAUCACUCCCCCAGAUUGCAGAGAAGCGAGAGACAAGAUUAAUCAUCGGUACAUAGGUCUUACACACACAGCCCAUUGUGCAGAGCAUGCACGGAGGCUGAGGAAACUGCAAGCCACCUCCUAUUUAGUGUAGCCCUCCAUGGCGUCGCCUCAUCAAGAGAAGAGUUCCUGGGAAAUCCAGGGACCAUGAGCGAAGCCUGCCGUACGCCAUUGGAGGUGCUCCGCUUCCUGAAGAAGCUGGGCUGGCUGGAAUGAUCAGCGGCUCAGACUCCGCACGCAAAAAGGGCCCAGACAAGGAAAAUUGUCCUCAAGGGAAGUAAGAAGUUUACUGUGUGGCAUUACUAGUAGCGCCUUGGGGAAUUGCUGCUCCCUUAGGCACAAAUGUCCUGGAAGUUAAAGAUAUCAGAAAUAGAGGAAAACCCAAUCAAAGGUGGAUGGAUUGCAUUAAAAAAGCUUGAAUAAGAUGUAGUAAGAAGUAUUGAGGGUAAUGUAAUGCAAGUGAUGGGUUUAACGAGGAGUUAAUAUACUGUGCUGACCUCGUAUAAGUGGGAAGAAGGUGAAGCAGAAGAAGACAAAAGAUAUUUUGUCACCUUUUCAAGCUGAAAAUUUUAAAAACCCUAAACGCAAGAUUUGGAUGGAAGAAGAAUCUAUGAACAUCAUGAUUGCUAGGAAGCGACUGGACCUCGGAGCUGCAUAUCCAUAGUUGGAGGACUACAGGCAUUCCUCGCCAGGUGACAUUCUGAAGAUUAUGCCUUCAGAAGCAUAGAUGAGCACAGUAUGGGACGAGCACAGAGACAAGAUUCGAAGUGUCACCACAAUGGACCCUGCAAAAGAACAAUAUUAUCCGUAGGUCUAAAUUUACAGCAUGAUAGUUAUACAUAAUACCCAUUUGAUUUGGAUUCGAUUUAUGAUUUACGAGUAAAUUUACUUUCAUGCAGAUAAUUUGAUAAGAAAUUUGCUUUCUUUUUUUACAAAGCAAAAAAAAAUAAAAAAAGAUAUUAUUUAUCUGUAAUUAUUCUAAUAUAGAUUUUGAUGAAAUUGAAAAUAGCACGUAAUACGAGUACAUCUGAAUAUAUACCAAUAAGCAGUAACAGGAUAUGUAUAUGGAUAAGUAAUCCAAAAAUAAUCUAUAAAUUCUAAUUAUUGAUAAAAUUAGUCAUUGACAUAAAUAAACAUGCAUCGUUUUCCUGUGUUUACUUGUUGUCCGUCGCAAGUAGGCCGCCGUGUCUGGGCUGUAUCGGUCGAACUUUGGACGUCUCGUGGAGUCGUGGCAAUGUACGAGGAUGGAAUGUUACAUAUUAUAUGUAAUGUAGUUUUACCUUUUUGUAAAAAAAAAUACAUUUACGAUAUCUGUAAAUAGAGAGGCGCCGGUUAUUUUAGUUCGUUUUUUGUCUGACUAUUUUCGACGUACUUAUCUCAAUACUUUUUUUCUGUCAACAUCUAAUAUUACCCUCUUAUAGUAUAGUGGGCAAAUGACCGUGCGGAUUGCCUGAUAGUAAGCAAACACUGCAGCUCAUUGACACCUUCAACCCGACACGGGUCACCGGUUAUUGCCGACUUUUUGAGAUGGUGAUAAACCUUACGUUUCGAUGUCUCUCGGAGACAAUGAAGCAGGAACAAUCCAUGGAUCUCUUGUUUUGCCCAAACUGCCCCUCCUCCAGCUCCGUAGAGAACCUGAAUGAGGCCAUGACAGAACAAUUGCUGUGGCUACAUACUGGUUUAAAUUUAUAUAUCAACUAUAUAGUCUAUACAUACUAUAUACAGUCAUUUAUAGACUAUACAUAUAUAGUCUGUUCGCCAAUUAGACUCAAGAAGAAGGAAAGAAGACGAAAAAGAAAAUAUUUUUCCUUCUGAAUGAGUACGUAUUAGGCUGUGCCGUGUGGUUCCGCGUUCCGCCCUAUAAUAGGGCCGUUCCAUAUCUUCCUAUGGAUAUCCUACGAGGCGUCUAAGGGACACAGCCAGAUGAGUAUCCUCGAAGAAGGUUGACGUAGAAAGCGGUCGGUUGUAAAAUUACAGCCAAAUAUUAAAAUUUUUAUUUUUUGUACUAAUCCUGGGCUUCCCGAUGUUAUAUGCCCAAACGCAACAGGGAACAUAGGAAAAUAAGAGAGAUAGAUAAUAGUAACUAGACUGUUGCAAGGUUGAGUUCGGGUUGGGUUACCAUCUGACCGGAUAAAUAGACCGGAUUUUCUAGGAAUAAACCGGAUUCCAUCCGGAUUUCAAUUGAGAUUGAAAUAAGAAAUAAUAUGAGCGCCACACCCGUUUCUACGCGUAGCACACGCCAUUAAAUAUGUGAAGAAUUUUACAACAAAAUUUCUAGUAAAAUUACUUUUUGAAAGCUAAUUUGUUAAAUUAAAAAAUUGCCUUCAGUGAAGUAAAUUAAAUACCUGCCGCUAUUUUUUAAUUGCUUUCUAUUUUCUCAUCAAUAUAUAAACAAAAAUAUAUACAGUACUUAAAUAAAUUGUUUAUAUUAUUAUCUUAGAGAUAAAUAUACGCUCCUAAUCAACUUCCGUGUCAUAAAAGUGAUUAAAUUAAAUAUGUCGUAAAAAUGUCUACAUUAUAUAAUGUAUUAUAAUGUAUACGUCCAAAUACUAUAGUAUUUAUAUUAUUAAAAAAAAAACAUUUACGAUAUCUAUAAAUAAAGAGGUGCCAGUUAUUUUAAUUCGUUUUGUCUGACAGUUUUUGGGGGUAUCUCAAUAUACUUUUUUCUAUUAACAUCUAAUAAUACUCUAUUAUAGUAUACUUAGUGGGCAAACGAGCAUGCGGAUUGCCUGAUGGUAAGCAAACACCGCAGCCCAUAGAUACCGGCAACCUGAACUAGUACUUCACUAGUGCCUAAUGAAACACAACAUCGUAUUUUUAAGGUCGAAGAUUAAAUUUACCAAAUACUUAACUACACACUAGUUUUCAGACUGGAAAACUAGUGAACCAAGUCCAGCACACUUUAAAGUCAUGGAUCCCAUGGACACAAAUAUAGAAAUUAGUUCAAUACACCCGCUACAUAGACGACCGAUGAAUGUGUAAAGGAUAUAGAAGAUUUCCAUGUAACUUCCUGGCCCAUAGCCCAUUCCAUAUACGGCUAAUAUCAUUUUAAAAUGGCACAUUGACAAAAUUUACCGCGCUCGUGUACUUCGUGUCACUUGCCCACUACGCCACGGAUGUGUUUUGUUAUGUUACUCAUUAUUAAAGUAGGUCGUUCCCAAUUCCAAAACUAAGCUUGAUAAAAAGCAUAUACCUCGCUGAUAACGUUCUAAUCGACUCGUCUGCGAUGCGUCUGCAAUGCAGCCUUGAGACCACUACGACACACAGACUUUAAUUCUAUCGCCGGACAAUCGGCUUUGUAAUGAUACAGAUAAAUUAAUUAGGUACCUAUACGAGCAACCAGCCGAUGAAUGAUGUGUUAUGAUAAUUCUUGAAAGAGGCGUGAAAGACAUUUCUGGGUCGACAUUGUUUGAGUGAAGCAGGUAACACGGUCAGUACGAAUUUUUUCUCUCAUCCUCGCGUGUUCAUGUUUGCAUUCGGGGCUGUGACGUCACGGCUUCGUUAGCAGCCAGGCUGGUUGUCAAUAAUCAGAGCCGAAUCUUCAUUUUUCUUUACUUUGCGGCGAUGCAACACGUGAUGAAGAAAGAAAGAAAAUUCUCGGAAAUUUAAGUUUUCUAAAAUUUCAAAUUCCGAUCACAAUUGUUUUUCCGAUCAAUUCAUUAUUACUUUAUUUACUUAAUAGGAAUAACAAAUAGCAACACUACAAACAGUAAAUAAAAACAUAAUUUCUUAAUUCGCAUCGUUGUCAAAUUAAAUUCAUGUCGGAUUGCCCCCAUUACCCAGUUGUUUCGGCCGAUUCCACGGCCAAGCAAACAUCCUUUAAUUAGCUUUCUGUUUGGGGUCAAGUGUACAAAAUAUCGGACCCUCGUACCCGGAACAGCACUUUGGGCAAAUCAGUUUAUCGCUAAUUAGAGUCACGCGUUGUGUCAUCUUCGGGAGAUGAUCUUAGGAGUUACUAACAUAAAAAUUAAAUUAAAUAAGAAACACUUUAUAUUUCGAAAUAGCUGGCAUAUCUCUCAUUAGCUAAAAAAGCUGACGGAUAGACGUAUAUUUUGCAAAAACAGCAAACAAGCUAUUUUCAAAUAAAAAAUACUAAAUCAAAAUAGUUUUACCCGCUUGGCUGCUACGAUGCUACGGACAGAUAUAGAUACACAGACAUGUUAAACUUAUAACACCCUUCCUUCGGUCGUUGGUGGAUAAAAAAAUACCGUUUUACCAAUAGUGGGAAGAGAGAAUAAUUUUUUGUCAUUUACGUAAUUGAGGCCAUUAGACUUCGCGGGCAAUAGCUAGUUAAUAUGGAUGUAUGUGAAAGUAUGUUUUGUUGUUUAUCCUUCUUUCACGUCAUAACAGAGCGAUAAUAAUGUGUGAUUUUGGAUGGCGAUAGUUGGAAGUGUGCUAUAGUGACAUAGAUUACUUUUAGCUCGAGCGAAGUCGCGGGCAACAGCUGGAGCAUAAGUCCAAUCCCAUUUACCUAACUAGUAAAUAAACAAAUUAAGUUAUAACAAGUGGCUUGUUUUGAUUAUUUACGAUGUCUUGGGAAAUUACCAAGCAAACAAAACACAGACUUUGGCAGACACGCUGCAAACUACUGACCGUCUGGCGUACCAAAUAGACCAUGAUAAGGACACACGAACGUGACGCAGAGAACGUAGCUACCACGCAGUCACGCAGCACAUGAGAUAUUUUUAAAUAACCCCGAGCUUGGAUGUGAUGAUAUUCACCCAGCAUAACUCGGCGGAGCUGUUGCUGAACUCUGCUGAACAAAUGUUGCCGACCAAUUCUUGCGGGCAUAUAUUGCUAGCCAAAUAAUUAUUUUGCUGGCCAUAUCUUGCUGACCAAAUCUUGCUGCCCAAAUAAUGAGUUUGCUGACCUAAAUAUAAGCAUAUUUAAACUGCUGACCAUUACCACGAUUUUUUGCGGAACAAGAAUUGCUGCCUGGAUUUUUUUAUUGCCUACCAACUCAUUAUUUUAAAAUGGCUGACCAAAUAAAAUUAAUCCCCGUAAGUUAUCGAUAAAAACGUUCAUAAAAACAUGCUUCGAUAUAGGUGUAGGUAACAAAAAUUUAAAGUUGUAAACAAUUUAAUUAACAAAAAUAGUGAUUUCUUUUGUAUCAAUAUUUAUAAAUAACUAUUAAUGACUGUUAAUUUCGUAAGAAAAUAGAUAUUCGUGUUGAUUAUUACAUUACUUUGAUAAUAAACUGUGCUUUAAUUAAUGAUCAUUG